CAGGUCUAUCCAGAAGCGACACACCUAAUAAUUCCAUGGUUUUGAGAGGCCAAUCAUCUAUGAUGUCCACGCACAACCCCAUUUCAUGGACAGCACUGCUGGAAGCCGUGACCUCUAGAUGACUGUUAGUAGGGAAAUUCAGAAGAUUUUGACAAAGAGGGCAGCCAAGUUCAAUAUUGCAAUGGAUAAUGUAGUUGGUUGCUAAUAUGUUUAUGGACUAGCCUUUGUAGGUUUUGGGGUUUUAUUUUGUGAAUUAUGUAGAAUCAUGAAUGAAUAUGAGAAAAUUAAUGGAAAGCCCCAAUUUUUGGAUGAUGAGAAA